rnacentral:rRNA from 1 species
UACGAGGGGGGCAAGCGUUGUUCGGAAUUAUUGGGCGUAAAGGGUCCGUAGGCGGUGCGGCAAGUCGAUAGUGAAAUCUCUGGGCUUAACCCAGAGUCUGCUUCCGAAACUGCUGUGCUUGAGUGUGGGAGAGGCGCGUGGAAUUGCAGGUGUAGCGGUGAAAUGCGUAGAUAUCUGCAGGAACACCCGUGGCGAAAGCGGCGCGCUGGACCACUACUGACGCUGAGGAACGAAAGCUAGGGGAGCAAACAGG